AUUGAACGCUGGCGGCAUGCCUUACACAUGCAAGUCGAACGGCAGCACGGGAGCAAUCCUGGUGGCGAGUGGCGAACGGGUGAGUAAAGUAUCGGAACGUGCCCAGUCGUGGGGGAUAACGUAGCGAAAGUUACGCUAAUACCGCAUACGAUCUAUGGAUGAAAGCGGGGGAUCGCAAGACCUCGCGCGAUAGGAGCGGCCGAUAUCAGAUUAGGGAGUUGGUGGGGUAAAGGCUCACCAAGCCGACGAUCUGUAGCUGGUCUGAGAGGACGACCAGCCACACUGGGACUGAGACACGGCCCAGACGCCUACGGGAGGCAGCAGUGGGGAAUUUUGGACAAUGGGCGAAAGCCUGAUCCAGCCACGCCGCGUGCAGGAUGAAGGCCUUCGGGUUGUAAACUGCUUUUGUACGGAACGAAAAGGUUUGGCCUAAUAAGCUGAGCUCAUGACGGUACCGUAAGAAUAAGCACCGGCUAACUACGUGCCAGCCGCCGCAGUAA
rnacentral:rRNA from 1 species